rnacentral:rRNA from 1 species
GGGAUGGACCAACCUCUGGUGCACCAGUUGUUCCGCCAGGAGCACAGCUGGGUAGCUAUGUUGGGAAGGGAUAAACGCUGAAAGCAUCUAAGCGUGAAGCCCACCUCAAGAUUAGAUUUCCCAUAGCGUAAGCUAGUAAGACCCCUGAAAGACUAUCAGGUUGAUAGGUUGGAGGUGUAAGUACAGUAAUGUAUUCAGCUGACCAAUACUAAUAGGUCGAGGGCUUGAUCAAAUU